CCCGACUCGGCCGCGUCGACACGACCGCAAGGUUGAACGUCAAGGAAUUGACGGGGCCGCGACAAGCGUGGAGCAUGUGGUUUAAUUCGAAGCAACGCGAAGAACCUUACCAGGUCUUGACAUCCCGGUGCCCGUCCUAGAGAUACGGUUUCCCCUUUGGGGCGGGUUCGACAGGUGGUGCAUGGUUGUCGUCAGCUCGUGUCGUGAGAUGUUGGGUUAAGUCCCGCAACGAGCGCAACCCUCGUUCCAUGUUGCCAGCACGUCGUGGUGGGGACUCAUGGGAGACUGCCGGGGUCAACUCGGAGGAAGGUGAGGACGACGUCAAAUCAUCAUGCCCCUUAUGUCUUGGGCUUCACGCAUGCUACAAUGGCCGGUACAAUGGGUUGCGAUACUGUGAGGUGGAGCUAAUCCCAAAAAGCCGGUCUCAGUUCGGAUUGGGGUCUGCAACUCGACCCCAUGAAGUCGGAGUCGCUAGUAAUCGCAGAUCAGCAACGCUGCGGUGAAUACCGUUCCCGGGCCUUGUACACACCGCCCCGUCGACGCGGCCG
rnacentral:rRNA from 1 species